ACCAGGUGUUCAAGAAAGCAAGGCUCUUGAGGACUUCCCCUGUUAGAGGAGAUCUGGGCAGAGUCUAAAUCCUCCAACAGAAGACACCAUCGGUAUCUCUUCCAGGGCUCUGAGGAAACAAAUCGAAGCAGUUUUGUCAACUGCUACUUGUCAAGUUGUCACUUUCUAUGAAGAGGAGGCAGAUGGGACACUAUCAGUGGAGGUUGGAACCCUUGUCUGUCAUCUGUAAAAUGGACACAGAGAUGGCUGCCGUUGUGGUCAUCACUAAAGGCAUCCUGGGAGAAGUACUUGGAUUCCACUGCUAAAGAGAAAAACUACCAUAGCAA